rnacentral:piRNA from 1 species
GCACAAGACAGCCUAUGAUUACUGGAGU